CAACGCGAAGAACCUUACCUGGGCUUGACAUGUAGGGAAAAGCCGUAGAGAUACGGUGUCCUUUUGGGCCCUACACAGCUGGUGCAUGGCUGUCGUCAGCUCGUGUCGUGAGAUGUUGGGUUAAGUCCCGCAACGAGCGCAACCCUUGUCCUAUGUUGCCAGCGGGUAAUGCCGGGGACUCGUAGGAGACUGCCGGGGUCAACUCGGAGGAAGGUGGGGACGACGUCAAGUCAUCAUGCCCCUUACGUCCAGGGCUGCAAACAUGCUACAAUGGCCGGUACAAAGGGCUGCUAUCUCGUGAGAGUGAGCGAAUCCCAGAAAGCCGGUCUCAGUUCGGAUUGGAGUCUGCAACUCGACUCCAUGAAGCUGGAGUUGCUAGUAAUCCCGGAUC
rnacentral:rRNA from 1 species